rnacentral:rRNA from 1 species
GAACGCUGGCGGCAUGCUUUACACAUGCAAGUCGAACGGCAGCAUGGGUGCUUGCACCUGAUGGCGAGUGGCGAACGGGUGAGUAAUAUAUCGGAACAUGUCCGGAAGUGGGGGAUAACGUAGCGAAAGUUACGCUAAUACCGCAUAUGCCCUGAGGGGGAAAGGAGGGGAUCGUAAGACCUUUCGCUUUCGGAGUGGCCGAUAUCAGAUUAGCUAGUUGGUGAGGUAAAGGCUCACCAAGGCGACGAUCUGUAGCGGGUCUGAGAGGAUGAUCCGCCACACUGGAACUGAGACACGGUCCAGACUCCUACGGGAGGCAGCAGUGGGGAAUUUUGGACAAUGGGCGCAAGCCUGAUCCAGCCAUGCCGCGUGAGUGAAGAAGGCCUUCGGGUUGUAAAGCUCUUUCAGCCGGAAAGAAAUUGCUUCUAUUAAUACUAGGAGUAGAUGACGGUACCGGAAGAAGAAGCACCGGCUAACUACGUGCCAGCAGCCGCGGUAAUACGUAGGGUGCGAGCGUUAAUCGGAAUUACUGGGCGUAAAGCGUGCGCAGGCGGUUUUUUAAGUCAGAUGUGAAAUCCCCGGGCUCAACCUGGGAACUGCAUUUGGAACUGGAAGACUAGAGUAUAGCAGAGGGGGGUAGAAUUCCACGUGUAGCAGUGAAAUGCGUAGAUAUGUGGAGGAAUACCAAUGGCGAAGGCAGCCCCCUGGGUUAAUACUGACGCUCAUGCACGAAAGCGUGGGGAGCAAACAGGAUUAGAUACCCUGGUAGUCCACGCCCUAAACGAUGUCAACUAGGUGUUGGGGGAGGAGACUUCCUUAGUACCGUAGCUAACGCGUGAAGUGACCCGC